AAUAACAUAUCUGAAGUCUCUUUCCAAAAAUUCAGCCUUGGUGCAGAAUUACAGCCACUAGAGCCAGUCCCCCAAUAAGCUUCCCUUAGUAUGUGCCAUUUGUGAGUCUGUAGCUUUGAGGAGGAGAGAGGGGGG